rnacentral:misc_RNA from 1 species
GAUGAAGAACGUAGCGAAAUGCGAUACGUAAUGUGAAUUGCAGAUUUCAGUGAAUCAUCGAAUCUUUGAACGCACAUUGCGCCCGCCAGUAUUCUGGCGGGCAUGCCUGUUCGAGCGUCAUUUCAACCAUCAAGCCUUCGCUUGUGUUGGGGCCCCGCGGCUGCCGCGGUCCCCUAAAUCCAGUGGCGGGCUCGUCGUCGUACCGAGCGCAGUAGACAUCCUCGCUCCGGGAACCCGACGGGUGCCGGCCGUGAAACCCCCCACAUCAAGGUUUACCUCGGAUCAGGUAGGAAUACCCGCUGAACUUAAGCAUAUCAAUAAGCGGAGGA